CGAGAGUCUCGCGUGACAGACGGGUCAAUUGCGCGCGAGAUGUCAUCGAUCUGUUAACUUAUUGACGACGCGUAUAAAUAAUAAUAAUAGUAAAAAAAAAAAAAAAAAAAAACCAUAAUAAAAACGCCGGCACCGAAAGGAAAAUAAAAAUAUAUAUAUUUAUGCGCAAAUUUGCAGUUCUUUUCACGUGUUGCUCCGUUAGAAAUACGCGCCGUUUUCAGACGAUCCGUGAC